AGCGCGGCGCCUCGCCGUCGGCGGCCCCGGGGAGGCGCGGAGCGGCCGUGAGGCCCCGCCGGGAGCGCGGUGGCUUAGCGGGGUUUGCAGUGUUUCCCUAAAUAGCCUGGACCUGUUCUGAUCACUGGAAGCUUAUUCCAGAUCUUGGUUUCCUCAGACUUUAAAGUGGACUUUGUGAUCUGCACUGCUCAGGAGGGAAAAAUGCUGUGUGGCGGCUGGAAGAGAAGAGUGAGAAAAUGUGAAACAGUCCUGCAGACACCAAGGUCAGUGAAGAAGGGGGAGGAGGUGCUCCAGGUGCCAGAGCUCCCCUGCAGCCUGUGGUGAAGACUACAGGGAGACAGGCUAUCCCCCUGCAGCCCAUGGAGGUUGGUGGUGGAGCAGAUAUCCACCUGCAGCCCAUGGAGGACCCCAUACCGGAGCAGGUAGAUGAGCCUUUAAGCCUGUGGAGACCCCAUGCCAGGACAGGCUCCUGGCAGGAGCUGCAGCCUGUGGAGAGGAGCUGGUGCUGGAGCAGGUUUUCUGGCAGGAACUGUUGCCUGUGGGGGACCCACGCUGAAGCUGUCCAUUCCUGAACGACUGCACCCUAUGGAAAGGACCCACGCUGGGGAGCAGUUCAUGAACUGCAACCUGUGGGAAGGACCCACAUUGGAGCAGUUUGUGAAGGACUGUCUCCUGCCAGUGGGACGCCAUGCUGGACCAGAGGAAGUGUGAGGUGGAAGGAGUGGCAGAGAUGAAGUGCUAUGAACUGACCACAACCCUGAUACCCCUGCCCUGCUUGGUGGGGAGGAGGUAGAGGAGCUGUGAUUGAAAUUGAGUCUGGGAAGAAGGGGGGUGGGGAAGAAGGUAAUUUUAGUUUUGUUUUUGUUUCUCACCAUCUCUAUUUUUAAUUGGCAAUAAAUCAGAUUUAGGCUCUGUUUCGCCCGUGACGAUAAUUGGUGAGCGAUCUCCCUGUCCUUGUCUCAACAAGAUAAAGAGCUUUUUGUCUCUUUUAUUCCCCCAUUUUGCUGAGGAGAGGGAGUGAGAGAGCGGCUGGGUGGGCACCUGGCAGCCAACCAAGGCCAACCCACCAAAGAAGUACACUGUUCACCCAUUUCCAGAUGUCAAUCUAACAGACAUAUUGUACAGUCUUGCAGAGGACAUACCUGCAAAGUGUCAUGCAAAGGAUGUUCUCUUUCUACCACGGCUACAUGCCUUACAGUGCAAAUUCUCCAACAAGGGUUUCUCCCCCACACUACACACCUCAUUUUAAACCAAAACAAUUAGUUUUCCUGCAUGAUGAUCAUUCUAGUGUCAUAUUGUUAUUUACACAUGAAAAUACAUUUUUAAAAAGUAAAUAGUUCUGAAUGUGAAAUUCAGCCCUGCAGGCAAUAGCAUAGGCUCUGCAGUCAGUUGAGAUGCAAUAAAUUAUCUUCUGUUGCUUUUUUCCUGAGA